GAUGAACGCUGGCGGCGUGCCUAAUACAUGCAAGUCGAGCGAACAGACGAGGAGCUUGCUCCUCUGACGUUAGCGGCGGACGGGUGAGUAACACGUGGAUAACCUACCUAUAAGACUGGGAUAACUUCGGGAAACCGGAGCUAAUACCGGAUAAUAUAUUGAACCGCAUGGUUCAAUAGUGAAAGACGGUUUUGCUGUCACUUAUAGAUGGAUCCGCGCCGCAUUAGCUAGUUGGUAAGGUAACGGCUUACCAAGGCAACGAUGCGUAGCCGACCUGAGAGGGUGAUCCGCCACACUGGAACUGAGACACGGUCCCGACUCCUACGGGAGGCAGCGGUAGGGAAUCUUCCGCAAUGGGCGAAAGCCUGACGGAGCAACGCCGCGUGAGUGAUGAAGGUCUUCGGCUCGUAAAACUCUGUUAUUAGGGAAGAACAAAUGUGUAAGUAACUAUGCACGUCUUGACGGUACCUAAUCAGAAAGCCACGGCUAACUACGUG
rnacentral:rRNA from 1 species